rnacentral:lncRNA from 1 species
GUGAAAUAGGCUUUGCAGCUGGUAUUAUCUAUCUUGUACAGAUGAACGAACGAUUGCUUAGAGAUAGAAAACACUUCACCUGAGGUCACCAGGCUAAGUAAAUGGAGCUUGGAUCCGCUUGCUGAGACUGCUUAAAAUCUGGCAGAUGUUCUAGUAACCCUGAUGCUGCCAAUGCCUAAAUGGGAGAAGUACAAGUUGCCUUUCUGUAUGAAGAUUAGUGCUGCCUGGGGAAGGGGGCUGCAACUCAACUAGGUUGCAGAAGCCUGGCCCCGUGAAUACAUACCUGGUUCAGGAAAAUGAGAUCAUUGCCAAAUUUAACUGAUAGAUAGGACGGCAACCCAGAAAUGCCU